AAUGAUGAAGCUGGUAAAGCAAUUGCACAUACUGUUUCAUAUUAGUGGCAAGCUCAUAGAACAUUAUGAUAACUUUGUUGCCCUGCUGAAUAGCGGAACAUCCUGUGGGGGGUUGAGAAGCGCCAUCCUCCAUGACUUCACCCAGGCUGAAGCAAAAGUAGAACUUCAGAUAUUGGGCUUACUGGGCAAAUAUCUGACUGGGCCUUGGAUGAAGCGCUUCUACACUUCAAGCCAGAAUCAGAACAACCAUGUUGAUGGCAUCAAAGUGGUUAAAGGAGUGAUUGCUGCUCUAAAGGAAGCCACAGAAAAUCCAGACAACUUGAUAUUGGCAAGGGAAGAUUUCUUCGGUGAGGAGGUACAUCUUAAUGCCACAUUGACAAAACUUCGGGAGCUACCAGUACAUCCACAAUUCAGUUCAAAGAUGAGGAGCUGUCUUCAAGCU